UACGUAGGGUGCAAGCGUUAUCCGGAAUUAUUGGGCGUAAAGAGCUCGUAGGCGGUUUGUCGCGUCUGCUGUGAAAACCCGAGGCUCAACCUCGGGCCUGCAGUGGGUACGGGCAGACUAGAGUGCGGUAGGGGAGAUUGGAAUUCCUGGUGUAGCGGUGAAAUGCGCAGAUAUCAGGAGGAACACCGAUGGCGAAGGCAGGUCUCUGGGCCAUAACUGACGCUGAGAAGCGAAAGCAUGGGGAGCGAACAGG
rnacentral:rRNA from 1 species